AGUUAUCCUAGGGAAUUGCUUACAUGUUAAAAACAAAAAUCAAAACAGCGAGUAAAGACUUGUUUGAAUGGCGUUCACUUGAAAAAUAGGAAGAAAAAGAAAUACGUACAUUGUCAGUUUCUUUGGAAAACGCUUC
rnacentral:lncRNA from 1 species